GUGUUGCCUAGCUGGGAAUUGGAUUUUCAUAAUUAAAGCAGUACAACACAGGACAACAAAGUUCCUGCAAGGUUAACAAGCACAGAAAAGGAAUUCUCUGCAGGGACAGCUUAGCAUACAAAGUACAGCAGAGUGCAAACAAUCGAUGUCAUGACCUCAUUCUGCCAAUGCAUUUACUAUCUUCUGCCGUACAUCAUUGGAUGCGAGAGACAAGCCUGGUGAAAUGACAGAACAAUGUUGACACAUCAUUCACUUGAUGCUAUGACAUCACAUGUUGAUGAUGUCAUGCCAUAACAUCAAGAUGCGAGGAGAGCAAAGAACAUCUUAUUCUGCCCCAGACCAAUAUGAAAAAUAACUGAUGUCUUGCAAGGAACUCCAUUUGAACUAAUCAUCCAAAACAGAUGAUUGCAUCAUGACUACUUUACUGAGAAUUGGUCACUUACACACAGAUGCUCAUCUGUGCACCAUGGAAAUUGAAUUCAAGUAAUGUGAAUGCAGAACCAAAGAUACAGAAUCUGGUCGCUAUUUUGGAAACAACGGCCAUCAUGUCUGGAAUGGCAAUUGUAAAAUGUGGACUGGAAGCCCUGCCUUAGAGACUCCAGUUUGCCACUUGCUAAUCAUUAUUUGUACACUAUGCAGCCAUAUUUGGAGAAAGCCUCCCUCUGCUGAAAUCUAUGGCAAAGCUCCAGUUAAGUCACCCAUUAAGUCUAGACAACAAGAUUGAGAUCUCUUCUGCAAAUAAAGUAUGAGCAGCCACUAAUGAAAGCAUUGACUUGCUAACAAAGGCAGCAUAAAGCGCAGCAGUGAAUGGCGUUAGGAUUCUGCAAGCAGCAACAGCAGACGCUCCACAGAGAUUUGUGGGGGAGAGAGGCAGCCAUAGUUAUUAGAGUGGUUAGUGGAACGGAACAGGAAACAUGAGGAGGUUAUGACAUCACCAUCUCAACUUGACAUGCAUCAUCUAUCAGGGAUGGCUUAAGGAUAAUGAAAUAAAUCAUACCCUGAUGCAAUGAGAUGGACGAGAUGACCCUACUGCUGCUUCCUUUCAGCAGUAACAACUCUGCAACUAGAAAAGAGUAGCUCUAUCAGACGUGUAGAAAUCUGGUGAGCUACAGUUCAUCGGUUCUGAGGGCACUGUUCUCACGGGUGCACAGUUACUUAGUGCCUUGAGACAAUAAGAUUGCUAUCAAUCCUUUUUUGACCUACUUUUCCCAUUUUUACAUUUUUAAGGGUCUUUCAGUUUUUCCUCUUCCCCCACAUAUUUCCUGAAACGAUUCUCUACGAGAAAUAUCUAUGGCAAAUAUACAACGGAUUCAGACAGUAGCUCCCAGGAAUAAGGAAAGUGGUUUCAGAGAGUCUGUGCUUCCUGUGAUAAACACAUGCUUCUCUCCUGCUACCAAAUGCAACUAAACAGGUUUAGCAGGUUUUUGAAACAACACAAAAACUCACAGAACCUCCUUUAUCCAGAGGCAAAGUGAGAUACAUUAAUUAAAAAGAACAAAAAAAACCCAAACACUUCUGCUUAUUUCCCAACUAGCUUCCAAUCUCCUGGAAGAAAAAAAGACAAGAAAAGCUAGUCUUAUAUCCAAUCAAAAAUGACCUUACUCAAUUGUAUGUUGUUGGGAAUUAUUUGAACUCAACUGCAAUUUUUCUUUUAAAAGCAAAAUAAAACUAUGCAAUCAAACCAAUUUUACUGAGUGCAAAAACAUACCAACAUUAACUCUGUAAAGAAAGUAAAUAAUAUGCACUUUCUACUCUCUGCUUGCAUUUGAAAAAAAAAAUA